CAGUCGCCGCGGUAAUACGGAGGGGGCUAGCGUUGUUCGGAAUUACUGGGCGUAAAGCGCACGUAGGCGGCUUGGUAAGUUAGAGGUGAAAGCCUAGAGCUCAACUCCAGAAUUGCCUUUAAGACUGCCGAGCUAGCAGGUGAGAGAGGUAAGUGGAAUUCCGAGUGUAGAGGUGAAAUUCGUAGAUAUUCGGAAGAACACCAGUGGCGAAGGCGGCUUACUGGCUCAUACUGGACGCUGAGGUGCGAAAGCGUGGGGAGCAAACAGGAUUAGAUACCCCGGUAGUCCCUGUCUCUUAUAC
rnacentral:rRNA from 1 species